GACAACAGUUGGAAACGACUGCUAAUACCGCAUAAGCCCACGACCCGGCAUCGGGAAGAGGGAAAAGGAGCAAUCCGCUUUGAGAUGGCCUCGCGUCCGAUUAGCUAGUUGGUGAGGUAACGGCCCACCAAGGCGACGAUCGGUAGCCGGACUGAGAGGUUGAACGGCCACAUUGGGACUGAGACACGGCCCAGACUCCUACGGGAGGCAGCAGUGGGGAAUAUUGCACAAUGGGGGAAACCCUGAUGCAGCGACGCCGCGUGGAGGAAGAAGGUCUUCGGAUUGUAAACUCCUGUUGUUGAGGAAGAUAAUGACGGUACUCAACAAGGAAGUGACGGCUAACUACGUGCCAGCAGCCGCGGUAAAACGUAGGUCACAAGCGUUGUCCGGAAUUACUGGGUGUAAAGGGAGCGCAGGCGGGCGAUCAAGUUGGAAGUGAAAUCCAUGGGCUCAACCCAUGAACUGCUUUCAAAACUGGUCGUCUUGAGUAGUGCAGAGGUAGGCGGAAUUCCCGGUGUAGCGGUGGAAUGCGUAGAUAUCGGGAGGAACACCAGUGGCGAAGGCGGCCUACUGGGCACCAACUGACGCUGAGGCUCGAAAGUGUGGGUAGCAAACAGGAUUAGAUACCCUGGUAGUCCACACCGUAAGCGAUGAUUACUAGGUGUUGGGAGAUUGACCCUCUCAGUGCCGCAGUUAACACAAUAAGU
rnacentral:rRNA from 1 species